GGUAGCCGGCCUGAGAGGGCGACCGGCCACACUGGGACUGAGACACGGCCCAGACUCCUACGGGAGGCAGCAGUGGGGAAUAUUGCACAAUGGGCGAAAGCCUGAUGCAGCGACGCCGCGUGAGGGAUGACGGCCUUCGGGUUGUAAACCUCUUUCAGCAGGGAGGAAGCGAGAGUGACGGUACCUGCAGAAGAAGCGCCGGCUAACUACGUGCCAGCAGCCGCGGUAAUACGUAGGGCGCAAGCGUUGUCCGGAAUUAUUGGGCGUAAAGAGCUCGUAGGCGGCUUGUCACGUCGGUUGUGAAAGCCCGGGGCUUAACCCCGGGUCUGCAGUCGAUACGGGCAGGCUAGAGUUCGGUAGGGGAGAUCGGAAUUCCUGGUGUAGCGGUGAGAUGCGCAGAUAUCAGGAGGAACACCGGUGGCGAAGGCGGAUCUCUGGGCCGAUACUGACGCUGAGGAGCGAAAGCGUGGGGAGCGAACAGGAUUAGAUACCCUGGUAGUCCACGCCGUAAACGGUGGGCACUAGGUGUGGGCGACAUUCCACGUCGUCCGUGCCGCAGCUAACGCAUUAAGUGCCCCGCCUGGGGAGUACGGCCGCAAGGCUAAAACCCAAAGGAAUUGACGGGGGCCCGCACAAGCGGCGGAGCAUGUGGCUUAAUUCGACGCAACGCGAAGAACCUUACCAAGGCUUGACAUACACCGGAAACGUCUGGAGACAGGCGCCCCCUUGUGGUCGGUGUAC
rnacentral:rRNA from 1 species